rnacentral:rRNA from 1 species
UACGAAGGGUGCGAGCGUUAUUCGGAAUCACUGGGCGUAAAGGGUGCGUAGACGGUAUGUUAAGUUUGUCGUUAAAGGCUCCGGCCUAACUGGAGUAUUGCGAUGAAAACUGGCAAACUAGAGGGUGAGAGAGAGAAGUGGAAUUCCCGGAGUAGCGGUAAAAUGCGUGGAUCUCGGGAGGAACACCAAUGGCGAAGGCAGCUUCUUGGCUCAUUCCUGACGUUGAGGCACGAAAGCGUGGGGAGCAAACAGG